CCGUACAUAAUACACAGAUUGAGUAGGAGGAGUGGAUUGUGAGGUGGAAUCUACAUGUGACUGGCUCAUUACAUCCUCGUUCUAACUCCUCCCUCCUCUUCCACCUCAACCAAUCACCACCCAAAAUGCAAAUCCAGCAUAUAGCUGUUAAAAAUUGUGGGACCUGAAAUCGAAAACACUUGGGAGGACUAAAGGUUGGAACCAAUGAUCUAUAUCAGUGUUUCUCAAACUCUGCUCCUCCAGGUGUUUUGGACUUCAGGUCCCACAAUUCCUAACAGCUGGUAAACUGGCUGGGAUUACAGCUGGAUGAGCACAGUUUGAGAAACACUGAUCUAUAUACUGUAGAAUUAAGGCAGCUUGUCACUAACUGCCAGAGCUCAAUGCUGUAAAGUCGCAGUAUAGGGUCACCCAUAGCUAACUGCUAGCUUAAUAAAUCAUGUUGUUUAAUUUGAAAGAGUCUUGGCUCUGAAACUUCUUCUAACUUUUCUCCUUUUCCAGUAAGAAUGGAAAGAGAAAAAGACUCCCAGUUACUCUCUCUUUGAAAUAAAACAAAUUUCAGUCACCAAGAUUCUUCUGAGCAAAAUUCUCGCCUGAUCUGUCGAUCGUAGUACAUUUCAUUUAAUUCUCAUUCUGAGCAAAAUUGUUUUGAAUAAUCUCAUGUCUGAACUCUCCAUCAGAAAACAUAGAAAGUGGUUCACGAGUGAAGAACCAAAGAUAUUCUUGGCUUUGCCAGAAAAUGAGACUUUUGGGAUGGAGGAUAUAUUUUUAAUUUAUCUCAAGAAGCACAUAGAAAUGGAACCCCUUUCCAAAGACUCUUUGGCAUUUGGAUCCCAAAGCAGAACUACCACCUACAGUAUUAGAAUGUGAAAGAACCUUAAGAAGAUGCCUCCAAAGGGUUGGGCUUUCAUGGGAGCCAAGGCCUCCAAAGCCUGAGGAAGAAACUCUUCACUUCAAGAAACUACCAGAGUUUGUCUGUGUGGGUAGCUCCAAAGAGUCUGUCUGAUCCUGUGAAGUUCAUCUCCACCCCCUUGGGACCUUUGCCUGUACUUCAAGGCAGAGGAGUAGGGCCAGGAAAGCAUGUGGCAACCUUGACUCCUGGACCCCUCCCUAAGAGAAGCUCUAAGGUGGUUUUCCAUUGAAAAUUUUCAGUUUCUGCUUAGGAUUCCAGAGCCUGGUUGUUUACAUGGUUGCCAUGGAGACCAGACAAUUCCAGGCACAGCUGAAGCUUCUGUGACUGUUGGUGCUGCCAUUGCCUUUCUGGAGUUAGCCAUGAGCAGAAUCACUUUGGGGCGGUUCCAGCCGUGGGUCCUUUUUGAUAGUCUUCUCUCGUAGUUUUGUCAGCGCAUCCCCAUCUUGAUGGCUUUGUCUGGGCAGUUCAAGGAUUCAGUGAAAGAGGUGGAAGCAUCCUUGGGGGUCAGCUGUCUGCAGGCAGAGAAGUAGAGUCUGACCACCAAUUCAGAGAUAUACCUUCUUUCUAUGAGCUAAAGCAUGGAGGGGAAGGUGUGUGGUCAUGGUGGUUUGGGGCACAGAACAGCCACCACAAUGAAAAUCCCCCUUCCCCAAAUCUGGACAAUUGUCCUGAAACUGGGGGGGAGGGGGCAAGAAUGUCUUAGCAUGUCUCAUCCCAGGGAUGCUUGCAGAUGAUGGCUGAAUGGUAGGACCCAUGUAGAGGUUGGGGACCAGUGCAACAAUAAUAGGGGACAGCAAGUGCCACCCAAUGUCCAACGGGGCCACAAAGCCCAGGAAACACGUGAUGGUAGUUUGUUUAACAAGUCUAGGCCAUAUUAAAGUGGUCUUAUCCUGUGUUAUCCUGGAUCAGCUCUCUGUGGCUUUUGACUGCCAUAAAGGUGCUUGUGCAUUAGUGGUCAGUGUAGAUGUGCCCAAGGACUCACUGGCUAGUUCUUGUUGAAGUUUUGCCUUGCUGCAUUUUUUUCUCCUCCAGAGUCAAAAAGCAUCCAAAGUACCCCACAUCCCACAAAGAAUCAUCAAAUAAAAGAUUGCAGGAAAGGUGGAGGAAAUCCUGCCUGCCUCCUUAGUUAGGGAGAUGGAUUUUGAUUUAAGGCCACAGCAAAACCUGUUAAGUUCCCAUACAGCCCUUGGAUGGAGAGAAAUUUCUUGGCUUCAAGCAGAAGUAAGGAUCUUGCAAACUUCAGAUGUUAAACUACAAGUCACAGCAGCCGCAGGCAGCAUUGGCAAUGGGGAAGAAUGCUGGGGGUUGCAGUUCAACCAUAUCUGGGCAUUUCCAACCCUAACUUUAAGUGCAAAUUCACCUUGCUCAUGAGAAAGAGAGAUCGCGAAACAUUGAACUUCUUCCUUUCCCUCAGCAGGAUUUCAGCAAAUGCAGCUUGAGACCAUUUUCAGAGUUUUACAAGCUAUUUAAUAGCAUUCCAGAUUCUCAAUUCAGAAAGCUGUCUUCUUUCCAGAAGCCCUAGACAUCUUGCCCAAUAGUCAGCUGUUGACAUGAUAAGUGGUUUUUUAAUUUGAAAGACUCUUUUGGUUCUUGGACCUGAUCUAAACUUUCUCUCUUCCAUGCAGGACAACCUGCCCUUCAAGGUAGAGGAAUAGGGCCAGGAAAGCAGAUGGCAACCUUGCCACUGGGGCCCCUCCCAAGAGAAGCUCUAGGGUGGUUUUCCUUUGAAAAGGUUCUGUUUCUGCUUCAGAUUCCUGGGCCUGAGGUGUUUACAUGGUUGCCAGGGAGACCAGGCAGUUGGAGCUUCUGUGCCUGUUAAUGCUGGCUAUUGUCUUUUUGGACUCAGAUGCAAGCAGAAUCACUUUGGGGCAGAAACAGCCAGGGCUUCCCCUGGCUCCUCUCACCUGGUUCCCUCAACACAUCCUCCUUGGGAUAGCCCUGGCAAGGCAGUUCAUGGUUGGGACCUCCUCCACCUUUAGGUUGGCCAAACCCUUCUCCGGCUUUGAGAAGUUUCCGCAUCUUAUCCUCAUUUGCAGAAAGCCAGGAAGAGGUAACCACCUUAUUGCUGUGUGGACAACAAUAUAAGGGAAUUUCAUGUGACCCAUUCAAGGUGAAGCCCCCUCAGCCCCAUAUUAACUUCCAGCAUUCCCUCUUCCAAUAUCACAUAAGGGCCAUGGAUCCCCCACAUCCAAGGAAAGCCCCUGCCUCAUCAGAAAUGGCUGUGAUACCAAAUUUUUAAAGGGAGGGUUCCCCUUUAGCUUUUGGCACCUAAGUCAACUCUAAAGGAGACCUUUCAGUGACUGAAAGUUCAAAUCCCAAGGGGAGGCAUAUAAAUGCAGAUCAUGGAGUGGAUUGGGAUGUGAAGAGGAAAUUUACAUGAGAGUGGUGAUUGGCUGAUAGAUGGGGAGGCAGAAAGGUGCUUUCAAGGGAGGGGUAUAUAUGAUUGAGUGUCAGAAACGGAUUGUGAUGUGGAGAGGGAAUUUCCAUAUGGAGGAAGAGGGGUGUGUGACUCAGAUGGGUUGGAGUUAGGUCAGUCAAUCACCAUCCAGAUCCAGGUUCCCUCUGCAUGUCACAAUCUAUUCCUGCCACUUGUGUCAUGCAGGAAGGGGAAAGGAAAUUGGGCUCUUCAGGGUAGAUAAUUUGGCAUGUGGGACCCACACCUCCCCUUCCAUCUGGGGACAGUGGCAGCAGUGCCUUUUUAAUCCUCCUUCAGUUAUCUCUAGUUUUUCCACUUUCCAGGGGAGCUGCAUCACUAACCCCUGCAAAAGUUGUCUUAUUCCAGGGGUGGUUGCAAACCUCCUGGUGGUAUUGGGCUUGCCUUGGGGGGCUUGACUAAAGGGGAAGUGAGAGGGGAGGGCUUCUGGAGUGAGAUCUCAUUUUGACCUUUGGACUUUUGCCUUUUCUCUUCCCAGUGUCCAGAAGAAAUUCCCAGAAGAAUUUCUAUAUAUCACUUGCUUUUUUGUAUUAUCAUUCCUUUUUCACUAUGCUUUCUUGUGAAUAAAAAUUAUUUUAAAAAGAA